rnacentral:rRNA from 1 species
AUUGAACGCUGGCGGCAUGCUUUACACAUGCAAGUCGACGGCAGCGCGGGCUUCGGCCUGGCGGCGAGUGGCGAACGGGUGAGUAAUGCAUCGGAACGUGCCCAGUAGUGGGGGAUAGCCCGGCGAAAGCCGGAUUAAUACCGCAUACGACCUGAGGGUGAAAGCGGGGGACCGAAAGGCCUCGCGCUAUUGGAGCGGCCGAUGUCGGAUUAGCUAGUUGGUGGGGUAAAGGCUUACCAAGGCGACGAUCCGUAGCUGGUCUGAGAGGACGACCAGCCACACUGGGACUGAGACACGGCCCAGACUCCUACGGGAGGCAGCAGUGGGGAAUUUUGGACAAUGGGGGCAACCCUGAUCCAGCCAUGCCGCGUGCGAGAAGAAGGCCUUCGGGUUGUAAACCGCUUUUGUUCGGGAAGAAAUCCUCUGGGCUAAUACCCCGGGGGGAUGACGGUACCGGAAGAAUAAGCACCGGCUAACUACGUG